rnacentral:tRNA from 1 species
GCCCGGCUGGCACAAUUGGUUAGCGCGUAAGACUUUUAAAGGCUUUAGAGCUUGCAAAGUUAUCUUAAGGUUGGGAGUUCGAGCCUCCCGUCGGGCG